CAGUCGCCGCUGUAAUACGGAGGGUGCAAGCGUUAAUCGGAAUUACUGGGCGUAAAGCGCACGCAGGCGGUCUGUCAAGUCAGAUGUGAAAUCCCCGGGCUUAACCUGGGAACUGCAUUUGAAACUGGCAGGCUAGAGUCUUGUAGAGGGGGGUAGAAUUCCAGGUGUAGCGGUGAAAUGCGUAGAGAUCUGGAGGAAUACCGGUGGCGAAGGCGGCCCCCUGGACAAAGACUGACGCUCAGGUGCGAAAGCGUGGGGAGCAAACAGGAUUAGAUACCCCUGUAGUCCCUGUCUCUUAUAC
rnacentral:rRNA from 1 species